rnacentral:rRNA from 1 species
CACAGGUAGCCCGAGUGGUGUCCACGAAUAUUGAGCUUAAAGCGUCCGUAGCCGGUUCGGCCAGUUUCCUGUGAAAUCUUUGGGCUUAACCCAUAAGGCGUGCAGGGAAUACUACCGGGCUAGGGAGUGGGGGAGGUCAGAGGUACGCUAGGGGGAGCGGUAAAAUGCUGUAAUCCUUGGCGGACCACCAGUGGCGAAGGCGUCUGACCAAAACACGUCCGACGGUGAGGGACGAAGGCUAGGGGAGCAAAUGGGAUUAGAUACCCCAGUAGUCCUAGCAGUAAAUGAUGCAGAUUAGGCGUUGCGCUUGCCUUGUGCGGGUGCAGUGCCGUAGGGAAACCGUUUAAUCUGCCGCUUGGGGAGUACGGUCGCAAGGCUUAAACUUAA